GAUGAUCAGUCACACUGGAACUGAGACACGGUCCAGACUCCUACGGGAGGCAGCAGUGGGGAAUAUUGGACAAUGGGCGAAAGCCUGAUCCAGCCAUGCCGCGUGAGUGAUGAAGGCCUUCGGGUCGUAAAGCUCUGUCAGAGGGGAAGAACCGCCGGGUGGCUAAUACCUGCCUGGUCUGACGGUACCCUCAAAGGAAGCACCGGCUAACUCCGUGCCAGCAGCCGCGGUAAUACAAGG
rnacentral:rRNA from 1 species